rnacentral:tRNA from 1 species
UCCCUGGUGGCUCAGAUGGUAAAGCGUCUGCCUAUAAUGCAGGAGACCCGGGUUCGAUCCCUGGGUCGGGAA